UCAAACGUUGUAAGUUUGGACGGCGAUCAAACAUGUUUGAUACGGUUUGGCACUCAAUACAACAUCAACAUGUUUGGUCACCAAACUAUUGUUUGAUCAUGUUUGCUCGCCAAACAUUUCCCGUUUGGACAGGACUUAACAACUCCAUUUCGUCUUCUUGUGCAUUUCUCCUUUCCUAGACUCUAGUUGGGUGUACGUUGGCCCGCGUAGAAUUAGGAUCAAGCCUGCGAACGUCAUUUUCAAGACUGAAGAGUCUCAGUUCACAUUUUAGAAAACAAAGCUCUUGCAGUGGAGGCAAUCUUAUCAAGAUAGAUACCAACGACUGCAGGAUUUCUUCAGCUGGGAAACGGCAAUGUAAACCAAAAUGCAAUGGGUCUUCUACCAAUAACGCACAGACGAGAUUUAUGAUUGUGAAAACUGGAGGAAGGAAGUGUAUUCAAUUCACUGAUGAACCAAGCGGCACUGUAUAUGCCCUGAAAGUCGUCAACGGCACGAGUAUCACUUUUGAGUCACAGGAACAGUUGGGAUGCGACAGCGCAACUGGGGAUGAGUUCCUGUUUGCAGGAGAAAAAGUUGGAAGACUAUUUAUAUAUAAGUACAUGGCUACUAAUACACCGAUGUGUUUAGGAGUUGCUAGCGACUGCGAUGAGAAUUUAUCUCUAAUCAAAAGUACAAAUUUUCGGGACAGACGUUGUAAAUUUUCACUCCUCACCCGACGAGGUCGUUAGUGGUAGGUUUGACUUUAUAAGUAUAAACUUGGGCCACAACUGGUGUAAGGUCAGCCACACGAUAUAUUAAGAGACUUUUUUGUUUGAGGGUAACACGUAACAGUAAAUAAUAUUACUGAUGAACUUGUGGCCCUCUAAUAAAUGCAAAAAUGCAAAUAAUAUAAACUACAUUAGAAAUAGAUAUUAUUUACAGUAGAAAUAGAAAUAAAAAUAUUUCUAGAAUUUGAUAACGGGACAAAUCGACUUAAAACGAAGAACAUGUAAACAUCUAUCUAUUGCCAUUAAUUUAUAUCAAACGAUGCCUUUGGAAUCAAAAGCUGACUUGUAGGAACAUUCAAGCUGCUAUAUAAAGCGGUGAAGUUUUUAUGCCGCUUUGUGAUACGUAUUUCAUUUCAUCCAAUGAUUCUUAGAAACAGCGAUGUUCACAAUAUCUCAACUUAAAUAUUUAUAUUGAUAUUGUUAAAUUUAAGAGGGAAACGCGACUUGUUGGUAGAAGCAGGAUGUAAUUCAUUAUUUAUGUCAAGACUCCUGUGAAGGAAAAUCGGACCCAAGACACCAAACUAUAUUU